GGGAUUGCCUCAGUAACGGCGAGUGAAGCGGCAAGAGCUCAAAUUUGAAAGCUGGCUCCUUCGGGGUCCGCAUUGUAAUUUGCAGAGGAUGCUUCGGGAGUGGCCCCCAUCUAAGUGCCCUGGAACGGGCCGUCAUAGAGGGUGAGAAUCCCGUCUGGGAUGGGGUGUCCACGCCCGUGUGAAGCUCCUUCGACGAGUCGAGUUGUUUGGGAAUGCAGCUCUAAAUGGGUGGUAAAUUUCAUCUAAAGCUAAAUACUGGCCGGAGACCGAUAGCGCACAAGUAGAGUGAUCGAAAGAUGAAAAGCACUUUGAAAAGAGAGUUAAACAGCACGUGAAAUUGUUGAAAGGGAAGCGCUUGCGACCAGACUCGCCCACGGGGUUCAGCCGGCAUUCGUGCCGGUGUACUUCCCCGCGGGCGGGCCAGCGUCGGUUUGGGCGGCCGGUCAAAGGCCCUCGGAAUGUAACGCCCCCCGGGGCGUCUUAUAGCCGAGGGUGCCAUGCGGCCAGCCCGGACCGAGGAACGCGCUUCGGCUCGGACGCUGGCAUAAUGGUCGUAAGCGACCCGUCUUGAAACACGGACCAAGGAGUCUAACAUCUACGCGAGUGUUCGGGUGUCAAACCCGUGCGCGCAGUGAAAGCGAACGGAGGUGGGAACCCCUCGGGGUGCACCAUCGACCGAUCCUGAUGUCUUCGGAUGGAUUUGAGUAAGAGCGUAGCUGUUGGGACCCGAAAGAUGGUGAACUAUGCCUGAAUAGGGCGAAGCCAGAGGAAACUCUGGUGGAGGCUCGCAGCGGUUCUGACGUGCAAAUCGAUCGUCAAAUUUGGGUAUAGGGGCGAAAGACUAAUCGAACCAUC
rnacentral:rRNA from 1 species